rnacentral:rRNA from 1 species
UCCUGGCUCAGGACGAACGCUGGCGGCGUGCUUCAUACAUGCAAGUCGAACGCGAAUCGGUAGCUUGCUACCGAGGAAAGUGGCGGACGGGUGAGUAAUAUGUAGAGAAUCUGCCCUAGAGAGGGGGACAACAGCUGGAAACGGUUGCUAAUACCCCAUAUGAGCGUACCUGAAAUGGUAUUCUUGAAAACUCCGGUGCUCUAGGAUGAGUCUGCAUCUGAUUAGCUAGUUGGGGGUGUAAUGGACCACCAAGGCGACGAUCAGUAGCUGGUUUGAGAGGAUGAUCAGCCACAAUGGGACUGAGACACGGCCCAUACUCCUACGGGAGGCAGCAGUAGGGAAUUUUGCGCAAUGGGCGAAAGCCUGACGCAGCAACGCCGCGUGAUUGAUAAAGCCCUUCGGGGUGUAAAGAUCUGUCAGUGGGGACGAAACUUGACGGUACCCACAGAGGAAGCACCGGCUAACUCCGUGCCAGCAGCCGCGGUAAUACGGAGGGUGCAAGCGUUGUCCGGAAUCAUUGGGCGUAAAGAGUUCGUAGGUGGUUUGUUAAGUUUGGUGUUAAAUGCAGAGGCUCAACUUCUGUUCGGCAUCGGAUACUGGCAGACUAGAAUGCGGUAGAGGUAAAGGGAAUUCCUGGUGUAGCGGUGAAAUGCGUAGAUAUCAGGAGGAACAUCGGUGGCGUAAGCGCUUUACUGGGCCGUAAUUGACACUGAGGAACGAAAGCCAGGGUAGCAAAUGGGAUUAGAUACCCCAGUAGUCCUGGCCGUAAACGAUGGAUACUAGGUGUUGCGGGUAUCGACCCCUGCAGUGCCGUAGCAAACGCGUUAAGUAUCCCGCCUGGGGAGUACGCACGCAAGUGUGAAAC